rnacentral:lncRNA from 1 species
CACAAGUUCAAAUCCAAUGUGGGCAACUUAGUGACUUAGUGAGAUCCUGUCUCAAAAAAUUAAAAAGUUUAAAAAGGACUGGAGAUGUGGCUCAGUGCAAAGCCCCUGGGUUCAAUCCCCAGUAUGAGGAGACAGCUUUACCUGGACUCACACUGCAGCCCCAUGACUUCCAGAUCCCGUGGGUCACAUCCUGUUUCUGAGCCUUACGUCGCUCCUCUGUAAGAAGGUGGGGGAGGCAGUAAGAGUCCCCAUGUCACAGGUGCUGGAGGACUCUGCAUAACAUGCAGGCAGUGCUUCAUGGAGAGCCUGGGCACAGAACUAGACCCCUGCUGGGCUGAGCGAAGGCCCCGGAGUCUGUUGCCAGGGUUGGGAGUGUCCACUGUCUGACUUUCCAUCUCCUUUUAAUAGCAGGAUGGGGCUGGGGAGUGGCCUCAUCAUGGAAGCACCAUAAUGAUUUAAGGAGAUUAGGUACAAAAAGCUUAGUGUGCAUUGGCGUCCUUGCAAAAUUAGGUGCUCUGUAAAAUGCAUUCAUUCAUUCGAGAUGAGGCCUUACUUUGUGGCACACACUAGUCUUGAACUUCCGGGCUCAAUGGCUCCUUCCACCUCAGCCUCCUAAGUAGCUGCAGCUCCUGGUACAUGCCACCACACCCAGCUCCAUCAAAAUUUACGUUAUUCUGUGAACAGUCUAUACUGUUUCAUAGAUUUUUUUGGGGGGGGGUCCUUCCACAUGACCUUUGUGUGGGCUGUUUCUCCUGCCAGGAAUGUGGCUGGCUCUUUGGUUUUGUGUCCACUCCCCACUGCCCUGUGUUUACUCUGUGCCUGUGGAGUGCUCCAGGGAAGCUCCUCCAUCCCUGCCUGUUAAUGGCUAGCUCCCCUUUGUCGUUACCUCUCCCUUUAGUCUGUACAAGACAGGGACACGACACCUUCCCUACUUCCACACAUGGACUGUAGCUCACAAUCAAAGCUCAAUGUUGAGUGAAUGGUGGAUGGGGGCUUGCAUCUCCAGAAAACUCCUAAAGAGUGAAUUAAAAGCAAAGAAUUUGGGCCUGGUGUGGGUGAGGAAGAGAGUUAUUGUGGGCAGAGGACAAGGCACAUUUGGGGUCAGAUGAGGCUGUAUUCAGAGCCCAGCUCUGGCCUUACAAAUUUGCUGGUGCUGCCCACAUACAGAGCCUCAGUUUCUUCAUCUGCAGAACGGGGAGAAUGAGGUGCCCGCCUGUGAGUUUCUGGGAAGAGUAAAAAUACAACUCAAUCUGUGCACAGGUUACUUUUGCCACAUUACUUGAAAGGGGGGAUCUUUAACCAGCGAGGGACACUCUAGGAUCCUCCUGCACCUGGUGCCUGGGGAUGUGCUGUAGAGAUGAGGCUGAGCCUACUGUGGAGUCAUAAUUGCUGGGUCAGAUUUAAUUGUGUGCUGAAGGCAGAUGGCUGAAGGCCGGGCAGCUGUGACACCUCACUCGUUCUGUUUGCUCACCUGAAGCUCUGCCCUGGGGACCCAGGGCCCUCUACUCCCAAGGUCCACACAAAGGUCGGGCUGUGGCAGCACGGAUAUGUCUAGGCAAUUCUUGCCUAUGGUGGAGGCAUCCCAGGCUGUUGUUCCUUCUUGGCCUGCAGUGGGGGAAUUAUGGGAGCUGCAGGACCUGCAGAAUGAGGGGUGCGAGGACUUUUGCAAACAGCCCGAGGUGUUGCCACACCAACCACGUGGUGUUUCCUCACACCCGUAUCUCCCUCCUUCCUGUCUGCACAUGCAUGGCUUGUGUGGCUGCAGGCACGUGUGCAGCCUCUUUUCGCGAGAUUGCCCAUGUUUCUGCAUGCUUCUCAUAGUUCACAUUUUUUUUUUUUCCGGUACCGGGGAAUAGUUCACAUUUUUAAUGGUUACUAAGUUGUCUGUGGUGGUGUCUCAGGAGUAACUAACACGCACUUGUGCACACACACACACACACACACACACACUGCACCACACCUUUGCCACCUGCAGCAUUCACAUGGCUGCUAGCUUUCCACCAAGAUAGACAGCACUGGGACAAACCCUUUACGUGGAUUGUUUGUUUUUGCUGCUUCUGAAUUCUCUCCUGGGUCUUCCUCCCUAAUUUUGCCAUUUGGGGUUGAGGAUGACACUUUCAUCAGGGCUGUUCAACACAGGGACAGAUUGUCUCACACGGCAGUGAGUCUCUUGGGCCUGAGGGUGUGCAAGACAACUGGGACAGCCAUCCACUGAGCUGGCAACUACUUGUUGGGCUCACAGUGUGCCAGUCCUGUGUUAGGUGCUGAAGAAACAGACGACACCACCUUCUCCUUCCUGGAGCUCACACUAGGGGAAGAGAUGUGAAGACCUCGCAGGUUGUGCCUUGCUGUGCUGUGACUGGAAGUUCAGGGCUGCUGGCUCCUCUGACUGGAACCGGCUCCAGUGCCUGGGUGAUGAGUCCCUGGGUGUCACGUGCUUCGUGGGACUUCUGCUCCAUCAGUCUGCAGUUCUUUCAUCCCUGGGUGACCUUGUAAUUCAGAGGCCCAUGUGUGAGGCCUGCCUCAGUCAUGGCUGGGGACCAGAGCUUGCGUGAAGCUUCUCUGAAUAUUUCCCUGCACAACUGACUCCUGUCCAACUGAAACUUUGCACUCUGACCAAUAUCACUGGCUUCCCCCUCCCACCCUGCCAUGGCAACCACCAUGCUCUCUGCUUCUGUAAGUUUAUUUGUUGAGACAGGGUCUCUCUCUGUAUUCUAGGCUGGCCUCAAACUCACUGUGUAGCCCAGGCUGGCUUUGAACUUGUGACCCUCUUGCCUCGGCCUCCCAACUGCUAGGAUUAUAGGCAUGCACCACUGUGCCUUGGAGUUGCCAUUUUUAGGUUCCACGUGCAAGUGAGCUCAUUUGGUAUUUUUCUUUCUGUGUCUGGCUUACUUCACUUAGCAGCAUUUCUUCCAGGUUCAUCCAUACUGCAAAUGACAAGAUCUUUUAUAAGGCUGAAUAAUAUUCCAAACCUGUGUGUAUGUAAUUGUUG